rnacentral:rRNA from 1 species
AGCGAACGCUGGCGGCAGGCCUAACACAUGCAAGUCGAACGAAGUCUUCGGACUUAGUGGCGGACGGGUGAGUAACACGUGGGAACGUGCCUUUAGGUUCGGAAUAGCUCCUGGAAACGGGUGGUAAUGCCGAAUGUGCCCUUCGGGGGAAAGAUUUAUCGCCUUUAGAGCGGCCCGCGUCUGAUUAGCUAGUUGGUGAGGUAAUGGCUCACCAAGGCGACGAUCAGUAGCUGGUCUGAGAGGAUGACCAGCCACAUUGGGACUGAGACACGGCCCAAACUCCUACGGGAGGCAGCAGUGGGGAAUCUUGCGCAAUGGGCGAAAGCCUGACGCAGCCAUGCCGCGUGAAUGAUGAAGGUCUUAGGAUUGUAAAAUUCUUUCACCGGGGACGAUAAUGACGGUACCCGGAGAAGAAGCCCCGGCUAACUUCGUGCCAGCAGCCGCAGUAACAC